GUCCACGCCGUAAACGAUGGAUGCUAGCCGUCGGCAAGCUUGCUUGUCGGUGGCGCAGCUAACGCAUUAAGCAUCCCGCCUGGGGAGUACGGCCGCAAGGUUAAAACUCAAAGGAAUUGACGGGGGCCCCGCACAAGCGGUGGAGCAUGUGGUUUAAUUCGACGCAACGCGAAGAACCUUACCAGCCCUUGACAUGGUCGGACGGUUUCCAGAGAUGGAUUCCUCCUAGCAAUAGGUCGACACACAGGUGCUGCAUGGCUGUCGU
rnacentral:rRNA from 1 species